UCUACGGCCAUACCACGUUGAAAGCACCGGUUCUCGUCCGAUCACCGAAGUUAAGCAACGUCGGGCCCGGUUAGUACUUGGAUGGGUGACCCCUAAGUGCCACGCUAUUCAACGAAAACGUGGUGUUGCCAGAU
rnacentral:rRNA from 1 species